UAACACAUGCAAGUCGAGCGGAUGAAGGGAGCUUGCUCCUGGAUUCAGCGGCGGACGGGUGAUAAUGCCUAGGAAUCUGCCUGGUAGUGGGGGAUAACGUUCCGAAAGGAACGCUAAUACCGCAUACGUCCUACGGGAGAAAGCAGGGGACCUUCGGGCCUUGCGCUAUCAGAUGAGCCUAGGUCGGAUUAGCUAGUUGGUGAGGUAAUGGCUCACCAAGGCGACGAUCCGUAACUGGUCUGAGAGGAUGAUCAGUCACACUGGAACUGAGACACGGUCCAGACUCCUACGGGAGGCAGCAGUGGGGAAUAUUGGACAAUGGGCGAAAGCCUGAUCCAGCCAUGCCGCGUGUGUGAAGAAGGUCUUCGGAUUGUAAAGCACUUUAAGUUGGGAGGAAGGGCUGUAGGCUAAUAUCCUGCGGUUUUGACGUUACCAACAGAAUAAGCACCGGCUAACUUCGUGCCAGCAGCCGCGGUAAUACGAAGGG
rnacentral:rRNA from 1 species